GGAUUCAAUGUGAUGAUUCAAACAGUUUUAUGCAUAGUUCAACUGAUUCUUUUAAUGAGGACACAACUAGCCAUCUAGUCUUUCGCUCCUAUCUGAUUGAAUCC
rfam:Cyberlindnera jadinii NRRL Y-1542 unplaced genomic scaffold CYBJAscaffold_38, whole genome shotgun sequence.